GACGAACGCUGGCGGCGUGCUUAACACAUGCAAGUCGAACGAUGAUGAGGAGCUUGCUUCUCUGAUUAGUGGCGAACGGGUGAGUAACACGUGAGCAAUCUGCCCUUGACUCUGGGAUAAGCGUUGGAAACGACGUCUAAUACCGGAUACGACCCUUGGAGGCAUCUCUGGGGGUGAAAGAAUUUUGGUCAAGGAUGAGCUCGCGGCCUAUCAGCUAGUUGGUGAGGUAAUGGCUCACCAAGGCGACGACGGGUAGCCGGCCUGAGAGGGUGACCGGCCACACUGGGACUGAGACACGGCCCAGACUCCUACGGGUGGCAG
rnacentral:rRNA from 1 species